rnacentral:rRNA from 1 species
GGUUUGAUUAUGGCUCAGAUUGAACGCUGGCGGGAUGCUUUACAUGCAAGUCGAACGGCAGCACGGACUUCGGUCUGGUGGCGAGUGGCGAACGGGUGAGUAAAUGUAUCGGAACGUGCCUAGUAGCGGGGGAUAACUACGCGAAAGCGUAGCUAAUACCGCAUACGCCCUUCGGGGGAAAGCGGGGACCUUCGGGCCUCGCACUAUUAGAGCGGCUGAUAUCGGAUUAGCUAGUUGGUGGGGUAACGGCUCACCAAGGCGACGAUCCGUAGCUGGUUUGAGAGGACGACCACACCAGGGACUGAGACACGGCCCAGACUCCUACGGAGGCAGCAGUGGGGGGAAUUUUGGACAAUGGGGAAACCCUGAUCCAGCCGAUCCCGCGUGUGCGAUGAAGGCCUGUAAAGCACUUUUUGGCAGGAAGAAACGGCACGGGAUAAUACCCCGUGCAACUGACGGUACCUGCAGAAUAAGCACCAUAAUCACGCCAGCAGCCGCGGUAAUGAAAAGCGUUAAUCGGAAUUACUGGGCGUAAAGCGUAUGGUAGUGGCUUCCGGAAAGAAAGAUAAAAUCCCAGAGCUUAACUUUGGUUCAUUGAUUUAACCACUUGUUGGGAGGCCAGAGAGUAAUCGUGUAGCAGUGAAAUGCGUAGAUAUGCGAGGAACACUACGGGCGAAGGUAGCUCUGGGAUAAUGACUGACGCUCAUGCACGAAAGCGUGGGAGCAAACAGGAUUGUAGAUAACUUUGUAGUCCACGCCCAAACAUGUCAAUAACCAGCUGCUAAAUGGCCUUUGUAGCGCAGCUAACGCGUGAAGUUGACCGCCUGGGAGUACGGUCGCAAGAUUAAACUCAAAGGAAUUGACGGGGACCGCACAAGUGGUGAUGUGGAUGAACAUGAUGCAACGCGAAAAACCUUACCUACCCUUGACAUGUCUGGAAUCCCGAAGAGAUUUAAGUGUCGCAAGAGAAACCGGAACACAGGUGCUGCAUGGCUGUCGUCAGCUCGUGUCGAGAUGCUGGGUUAAGUCCGCAACGAGCGGCAACCCUUGUCAUUAUUGCUACGAAAGGGCACUGGAGACCGAGAUCAGCAGACAAACCGGAGGAAGGAUGUGACGGGCUGUUCUCAUGGCUCCCAGGGUAGGGCUUCAGCACGCCGCGGCCAAUGGUCGGGACGAGGGUCGCCAACCCGCGAGGGGGUUAAUCCUGCAGAAACCCGACUGGGAUCCGGAUCGCAGUUCGGGAACCUGAAUGUGGAAGUCGGAAUUCGCUAUAAUCGGUGAUCAGCAUAAUACGGCGGUGAAUACGUUCCCCGGUCUUGUACACCGCCCGUCACACCAUGGGAGGUAGUUUUACCAGAAGUAGUACGAGCCUAACCGUAAGGAGGGCGGAUUACCACGGGUAGAUCAUGAUCAGCAGUCGUGGUCGCUAACUUGCGCUAACGUGAGAUGCUCCCA